GACCUUCUCCCUCCGUUCGGAAUUACUUGUCGUAGAAAUGGAUGUAUCUAGACUCUAGAUACAUCCAUUUCUACGACAAGUAAUUCCGAACGGAGGGACUACUUA
rnacentral:pre_miRNA from 1 species